GUUUUGAGAUGGUGUUGUACUGUGAUUGGCAAUUUAGACGGUUCUCACAUGUGUCAAGUGGUGGCAUCUGAUGGUUGAGACACAUACGCAUUUAGAGGCAUGGCUUCCCAUAUUGCCCAACUCCUGAUUCAUGAAAUUAAUCACCCACCGCCACAAUGAUCCAAAACCCUAAGUUAUAUUCUUUGACAAUCGCCAAAACCGAACAACAUACGUCGCUAACCUAGAAGGUUAACCGGCUUAGGGUUAGAAGGGGUGCUAAUGGUUCAUUAGGGAUGGAAGGGGGAGUGGUUCGACGCUAGGUUUUUGUGGCGAGACAUGGUGGUUGAUAGCGGCGGCUAGGGUUCCGACGCGCCGGCAACCCAUCACUUAUAAUAUACGUUUAUAGGUUGAUGAUUAUUUUGAAAUUGAAAUUGAAAUUUGUUGAUUGUUACGGUUACUGUUGUUGAUAGCAGAAGCAUACCACUACAAUAUCUAUGUUUACAGGAAAAGUCGAAUUCUACUUAAUUGGUUGUAAGUUCAAAUAUGAUUUAUCAUCAGAACCGAUUGUGUUAUAUACUUAUAUCAUUCAGCAGAUGUAUGUUCUCUUUUUAAUUAUUAGUUUUGUUUUUAAAGAUAACAGGAUUUGAACAGAAAUGAUGAGCAAUGGCAACGUUUUGUGUUCUGCUUUGUUGGUGCUAUUGCAACUUUUGAUAAGAGUUAUGAUGAGGAGAGUGAUUUUGUAGGAUUAAAGGCAUAAUUAAUAUCUGUUAAAACAAAAAUUAAUAUCUGUUAAAAAAAACGAAUGAACAGUAAUGCUUAGGGGUAUUUAACAUGUCCACCGCUUUCAUUUUUUAAUAGAAAGAGAAAGCAGCGAUGGAAAGACAGAGACAGGUUAGAAAGAGAAGAAAGAGGCGUGGCGGUGAAGUUGGAACAAGCGGUUGGGGGUUCUAUGCAGUUGGGGGUUCUAGGGUUAGGGGUAGUUGAAGACAACAGUGACGGUUAGGGGUUCUAGGGUUCCGGUGAGGUACCGGUGACUAAUCGGUCGAAGGUUGGGGGUUCUAGGGUUCCGGUGGGGGUACUGGUGACUCAAAUCGGUUGAUUCUAGAGACGGAAUGGGAGACUUGAAGGUGAUCUUGAACAACAGCAACCUCAGAGACUUGAUUCGGGUCCCUGCAAUAAUUCCGGGACAUAUUACCAUGGCAGUUGCCCAGGAGAAAUGCGAGAACAUAGAAAGAUCUCAACCUAUGAAUUUUCAAGAGAAGUACUAUUGAGAGAAGUAAAACUCACGCUUAUGAUGAAUGGAAUCAGCUAACAACAUUCAAAGUGUCCAUAUACAUAUUUUGGAUGAGUAGACAACCACUCUGAACUGAAGUUGGAGAGGAUCAACAUGUACUACGAUGAGGCGAGCGGCGGAAGGUUUGUUUUACGCGUUGUGCUUAUGGAUCUGGAGCCUUGGACGAUGGACGGUAUCAUGUCUUAUGCGUAUGAUCAGAUCUUCAAGCCUGAUCACUUUAUGUUUUGUCAUUAUGGUGCUGCUAACAAUUGGCGAAAUGACACCAUACCGAGGGUGCUAAGUUGAUUGAUUCGGUUUUGGAUUUUGUUAGGAAGGAGGCUGAGAACUAUGAUUGCUUACAAGGUUGCCACUCUCAAGUGUUUAACCACUCCUUACACCCUAAUAAGUGUAACAGCCAAAGUACACCUGCAUCAAAGCCUUUCGAUCCGCAAUCAUUAACUUUUGAGGAAAGAAAGGUCGACCCACUCCACCUCCAAGUACACCUGCAUCGAAGCUAAACUAAAAGGCAAAUAACCAAAUACAACGCUCCUUGGAUUCAAGUUACGACCCGUCAACAAAAGACAACUUUUUCGUUAAGGAAUUUGUCGGAUCGAUGAUCUUCCAUGGUAAAAUGUUGUUUGAAAAGGGUAAAACUGGUGGAACUGACUAAUAAUCAUUUUAAUGUUAAACUGGAUGAAUAAAUCAGCAACAAACCCUCAAAAACACUUGAGCAGCCUCUGAUGUACACACAGUUACAAGGGUACUUGUAGCAAAAACAUAAUAAUCAUUUGUUGUGUUCAAUUCUAUGUUAUGUCGUGUUACUUUUUCACCUAUUUAAAAAAAAUGAGGAUGUUUGAAUAUGCA